GACGAACGCUGGCGGCGUGCCUAAUACAUGCAAGUAGAACGCUGAAGGAGGAGCUUGCUUCUCUGGAUGAGUUGCGAACGGGUGAGUAACGCGUAGGUAACCUGCCUGGUAGCGGGGGAUAACUAUUGGAAACGAUAGCUAAUACCGCAUAAUAGUAGAUGUUGCAUGACAUUUACUUAAAAGGUGCAAUUGCAUCACUACCAGAUGGACCUGCGUUGUAUUAGCUAGUUGGUGGGGUAACGGCUCACCAAGGCGACGAUACAUAGCCGACCUGAGAGGGUGAUCGGCCACACUGGGACUGAGACACGGCCCAGACUCCUACUGGAGGCAGCAGUAGGGAAUCUUCGGCAAUGGACGAAAGUCUGACCGAGCAACGCCGCGUGAGUGAAGAAGGUUUUCGGAUCGUAAAGCUCUGUUGUAAGAGAAGAACGAGUGUGAGAGUGGAAAGUUCACACUGUGACGGUAUCUUACCAGAAAGGGACGGCUAACUACGUG
rnacentral:rRNA from 1 species